AUGGAUGCUGAAGAUGGUGGUCACGAAAAUAACUCUAUUCACAUGUCCAUUGUCCAAACAUCCACUCUUAUGAAGGAAUGGAAUACAUGGAUUGUUGUAGAUAUAAAAUACGAUUUUUUUCUCCAAGCAAAAUCAGGCUGUGAAGACUAUACAGAGAACAAUGGGUGCUGAAAGAAUGUCAAUAAAUGUUCAUUAAGUAUAUUGAUCUAAAUUUCUGAAAAAUAUAAAUUAUUUCUUAUUCUUCUAUGAAUCUUGCAUCUACACUGUGUGAUUUAUAAAGAAUACUAUUAUGAUGCAGAAAAAUUGUGAGAGUGGAAGGGAUGAAAUGAGACAAAGAAAAACAGAGGAAUGAAGAGGAGGAGGAAUAAAAGAUAAAAAAGAGAGGGUUUCAUGACUAUGCUUUUCCAGGUUUUCUGUCCAGAAUCUGACUAAUUAUUUUUAUAUUUUUUACUUUGUUUCUCAUUGCUUUAAUUUCCUGUGUUCAAUAAUAGGAUUGAAGGCAGGAGAAUUUCUGCUCAGUUACUCACACAAAGAGUCUGGAUAAUGCAAUUAUGAUAACGUAAGAAUGGAUUUGAGAGUUUACUGACACAUUGAAUUUGAUUAUCUCUCUUAUUCACUUGAUUCACUUGUUUUAUUUUCUUUUCUCAUAACUGAACCAGGAAGAAGCAGUUAUCUCUAGAGAGUGGUUAUUACGUUUUUGCCUAAUAUUUUUAGAGUCAAGUAAUUCACAAUUCUGAUAAGGUUGGGAGCUUUUGAGAUGUUGAAAUGAUUGCCAGAAACAAACUCAUUUAAGGAGUCCCUAUUCUCAUGUCACAAGUCAUUAAUUCAAUAAACUAACGUCAGAUCUUGAAUAUUUACCUAACCAUCUAGAGCCCAUUAUUACAAUCAAAUCUAACCACGUGACCUCCAAUGUUUAUGGACAGACUGGUGUGCAUAACCUUAAUUCCACUCAGCAUGCAGCGUCUCCCAGCUUGCUACUGAAAGGAUAAUUGUCAUGGUUUUAUCUGGGUAAGUGUGAGAAUCGAUCCAAAUUAUAUCUCUUUCAAUAUUUACUAAAAAAUCCAGAGAGAAAAAAUGAAUGUGAGUUCUUAUUUACAUUUAUGCUAUGCCACAUAAUUCCAAGCCAUUAAAUAGCCAAAUCCAAUAGUCGACACUACAAAAAUGAAUUAUUUACAGUUAGACUAAAACAUAUUAUUCAUAUAGAUUGAUAAUCUAAGAUUUGAGACUUAAACAGAAGGAUACUUCUGGAGGAAUUUUUUUUUCAAAAUAAAAUGGAUUUGUUAUAUAUCUAAAUAAUAUACUUGAGGCUGACAAAAGAGAACAUUGCUUCUAUCCAUAAAUGGAAGAUCUUUUACUGAGAAAGUUUGGUAAAUAUUGGGUACAAGUAUUUUAGGAGUAACCGAAGCAUUAUUACACAUGAGUGGAGAUACGAUUUUGUGAUUCUGUAUUUUAGGGCUAGGUUUAUAGUAAAAGAAUCCUUAGUAAAAUCCAUAAAUGUUAGGAAUAAUCAAUAUUUAAAAACAACAAAAUUAAUAUUUGUAUAGUACCUGCUCUGUGACAGGCCUUACUAAAAUGGUUUACAUACAAUGACCCAAUUCAACUACUAUGUGCAUUCUUUUAUCUGCUCAUGUUAGAGAUGAGAAUGGUCAUUAUAAAAUCUCAGAUUAUUGGCUGGGUGCGGUGGCCCACGGCUAUAAUUCCAGCACUUUGGGAGGCCGAGGCAGGUGGAUCACCUGAGAUCAGGAGAAUUCAGACCAUCCUGACCAACAUGGAGAAACCCCAUCUCUACUGAAAAUACAAAAUCAGCCGGGCGUGGUGGCACAUGCCUAUUAUCCACAGCUACUAGGCAGGCUGAGGCAGGAGAACCGCUUGAACCUAGGAUGCAGAGGUUGCUGUGAACCAAGAUCGAGCCAUUGCACUCCAGCCUGGCCAACAAGAGACUCUGUCUAGAAAAACAAAAAACAAAAAAACUCAGAUUAUCAAAAAACAAGCACAUGAGGUCCUACUAUGAACAAAACACUGUACCAAUUCCAAGGGUAUAAAAGUGUAUUAUUUAUUGAUUCAGGAAUCCAUAAGAUUUGAAUGUCUACUGUGUACCAAGACAGGGUCCUGAGCACUGGAAUAGGUUGAGUGUGCAAUGGAGAUUAGUCACGUGUAAAUUUCAGUACAGCAUGAUAUAUGUGGUAUAGAAGACAAAAACAAAUAAUUAUUUGAAGCACAACUAUGGGAUCAAUUAUACUCAGGGAGGCUUCAUGGAGGAGGUAACAUUAGAAUGGAGUGUGGAAGGAUAAAGAAAACUUCAUUAGUUAUAGAAAGAGGAUACAUUCAUUCUAUAUCAGAGUUUCUGAAGGUUAGCACUAUUGACAUUUCGGAACAACAAAUCUUUGCUGGAGCAGAAGGAGGAGGAAGGCUAUUUUAGGCACUGUAGUAUACUUAGCAACAUGUCCGCCCUCUGCCCACUAAGUGCCAAUUG
rnacentral:lncRNA from 1 species